UUCAAUUUUGGGCCUUAUCUC
rnacentral:siRNA from 1 species